AGCUUUUCUGUUUUCACCUAGAUAGAUAUGUUUGAGCAUUUGAAUUUUUAAAUGAUUUCUACAUCUCACUGAGAGUAACA